ACGACAAUGUCGCCGUCCGGCGCAGUGUGGGCUUUGGCAGUACGAAAGGCCAGCCACAGAUCGCCCUUGAAACGUGUCAGCGCCGUAAAGGCGUUGUGGUUCCCGUCGCCGAAAACUUUGCGCACCGUGCGCGGUGGCACGGGCGCGUCGCCCGGCUCCGCUGCGCUGGCAGUCAACGCCGCACCGACCAU
rnacentral:misc_RNA from 1 species